rnacentral:misc_RNA from 1 species
GAUGAAGAACGUAGCGAAAUGCGAUAGGUAAUGUGAAUUGCAGAUUUCAGUGAAUCAUCGAAUCUUUGAACGCACAUUGCGCCCGCUAGUAUUCUGGCGGGCAUGCCUGUUCGAGCGUCAUUUCAACCAUCAAGCCCUAGGCUUGCGUUGGAGCCCUGCGGCUGCCGCAGGCUCCCAAAUCCAGUGGCGGGCUCGUCGUCGUACCGAGUGCAGUAAACAUCCUCGCUCAGGGAACGUGACGGGUUCUUGCCGUGAAACCCCCCACAUAUCAAGGUUGACCUCGGAUCAGGUAGGAAUACCCGCUGAACUUAAGCAUAUCAAUAAGCGGAGGA